rnacentral:rRNA from 1 species
GAUGAACGCUGGCGGCGUGCCUAACACAUGCAAGUCGAACGGAGAUUUAACGCUGAUGAGGCUUCGGCGGAUUCUUGUUAAAUCUUAGUGGCGGACGGGUGAGUAACGCGUGGGCAACCUGCCUCAUACUGGGGGAUAACAGUUGGAAACGGCUGUUAAUACCGCAUAAGCGCACAGCAUCGCAUGAUACAGUGUGAAAAACUCCGGUGGUAUGAGAUGGGCCCGCGUCAGAUUAGCCAGUUGGCAGGGUAACGGCCUACCAAAGCAACGAUCUGUAGCCGGCCUGAGAGGGCGGACGGCCACAUUGGGACUGAGACACGGCCCAAACUCCUACGGGAGGCAGCUAGUGGGGGAUAUUGCACAAUGGAGGAAACUCUGAUGCAGCGACGCCGCGUGAGUGAAGAAGUAUUUCGGUAUGUAAAGCUCUAUCAGCAGGGAAGAAAGGCUCGUAAGAGAGAUGACGUAC